AAUCCUCUCCUGCCGAUGAGGUAUCAUUUUGGUUUUUUUUUCCUGAGAUUCCCUUGGACUUGUGGAUUGGAGGAACAUCAGAUUGAAAACUGGUUGUCAUCACUUAAGCCCCACUUCCAGCCCUGCCUCUUCCACCCAUCCAUCUUGAUAAAGUGGUUUGGGGCUGCGGUCUCCUUCCAUCACUGACACACACAUA